GAUGAACGCUGGCGGCGUGCCUAAUACAUGCAAGUCGAGCGAACGGACGAGAAGCUUGCUUCUCUGAUGUUAGCGGCGGACGGGUGAGUAACACGUGGAUAACCUACCUAUAAGACUGGGAUAACUUCGGGAAACCGGAGCUAAUACCGGAUAAUAUUUUGAACCGCAUGGUUCAAAAGUGAAAGACGGUCUUGCUGUCACUUAUAGAUGGAUCCGCGCUGCAUUAGCUAGUUGGUAAGGUAACGGCUUACCAAGGCAACGAUGCAUAGCCGACCUGAGAGGGUGAUCGGCCACACUGGAACUGAGACACGGUCCAGACUCCUACGGGAGGCAGCAGUAGGGAAUCUUCCGCAAUGGGCGAAAGCCUGACGGAGCAACGCCGCGUGAGUGAUGAAGGUCUUCGGAUCGUAAAACUCUGUUAUUAGGGAAGAACAUAUGUGUAAGUAACUGUGCACAUCUUGACGGUACCUAAUCAGAAAGCCACGGCUAACUACGUGCCAGCAGCCGCGGUAAUACGUAGGUGGCAAGCGUUAUCCGGAAUUAUUGGGCGUAAAGCGCGCGUAGGCGGUUUUUUAAGUCUGAUGUGAAAGCCCACGGCUCAACCGUGGAGGGUCAUUGGAAACUGGAAAACUUGAGUGCAGAAGAGGAAAGUGGAAUUCCAUGUGUAGCGGUGAAAUGCGCAGAGAUAUGGAGGAACACCAGUGGCGAAGGCGACUUUCUGGUCUGUAACUGACGCUGAUGUGCGAAAGCGUGGGGAUCAAACAGGAUUAGAUACCCUGGUAGUCCGCGCCGUAAACGAUGAGUGCUAAGUGUUAGGGGGUUUCCGCCCCUUAGUGCUGCAGCUAACGCAUUAAGCACUCCGCCUGGGGAGUACGACCGCAAGGUUGAAACUCAAAGGAAUUGACGGGGACCCGCACAAGCGGUGGAGCAUGUGGUUUAAUUCGAAGCAACGCGAAGAACCUUACCAAAUCUUGACAUCCUUUGACAACUCUAGAGAUAGAGCCUUCCCCUUCGGGGGACAAAGUGACAGGUGGUGCAUGGUUGUCGUCAGCUCGUGUCGUGAGAUGUUGGGUUAAGUCCCGCAACGAGCGCAACCCUUAAGCUUAGUUGCCAUCAUUAAGUUGGGCACUCUAAGUUGACUGCCGGUGACAAACCGGAGGAAGGUGGGGAUGACGUCAAAUCAUCAUGCCCCUUAUGAUUUGGGCUACACACGUGCUACAAUGGACAAUACAAAGGGCAGCGAAACCGCGAGGUCAAGCAAAUCCCAUAAAGUUGUUCUCAGUUCGGAUUGUAGUCUGCAACUCGACUACAUGAAGCUGGAAUCGCUAGUAAUCGUAGAUCAGCAUGCUACGGUGAAUACGUUCCCGGGUC
rnacentral:rRNA from 1 species